rnacentral:rRNA from 1 species
GACGAACGCUGGCGGCGUGCCUAAUACAUGCAAGUAGAACGCUGAAGGAGGAGCUUGCUUCUCUGGAUGAGUUGCGAACGGGUGAGUAACGCGUAGGUAACCUGCCUGGUAGCGGGGGAUAACAAUUGGAAACGAUAGCUAAUACCGCAUAAUAGUAGAUGUUGCAUGACAUUUGCUUAAAAGGUGCAAUUGCAUCACUACCAGAUGGACCUGCGUUGUAUUAGCUAGUUGGUGGGGUAACGGCUCACCAAGGCGACGAUACAUAGCCGACCUGAGAGGGUGAUCGGCCACAAUGGGACUGAGACACGGCCCAGACUUCUACGGGAGGCAGCAGUAGGGAAUCUUCGGCAAUGGACGGAAGUCUGACCGAGCAACGCCGCGUGAGUGAAGAAGGUUUUCGGAUCGUAAAGCUCUGUUGUAAGAGAAGAACGAGUGUGAGAGUGGAAAGUUCACACUGUGACGGUAUCUGACCAGAAAGGGACGGCUAACUACGUG